AAUUAGACCCUCGACCUGCAACUAGGGUUUCUAUCAGCCCAGUUGCAAGUCCAGCCCCGACUCGCAAUUUGAGGGGUGAUGUUUUGUUUGAAGUCCACCCCGACUCGCAACUCGAGGGAUGUAGUUUGUAAUCACCCCAGUCGCAAGUCAACCAUGUACUCGCAACUCGGGGAUGUAGUUUUAUUUUCCAUGUCACUUUUUCCAAGUCAUCCAUCUCGACUUUUUGCAACUAGUUUUUGUGUACAGUCACAACCAUUUUCCUUUUUCGUUUUUUGGUUGAUUUUUUAUAGGUGCCCUAGUGUUUUCAGUGAUCUCUCUUUCACGAAUCACUAUUUUUAGUUGACAUUUUUUUUGCAAGGUAGACCCUGAAAGUGCCUUUCCUUUUUGUAGGGUGACUGAACACAGGGUUCUGCAUUGAACUGCCCGUUUUUUAACUUUUUGUAGGGGGCUUUCUGCAAGAUGUCGAAAACAACAACAACUCUCCGAUGAUUAUCCACAUUUACAGAUUUUUUUUUUGUCUGAGCACUGUUUGAAUCGGUGGAGCAGAGGAGGAGGAAGAGAUGGGGGCGACAAGCUCGAAGCCCAUGGCGACCGAGAUCGCGGCGACGAGCCCCCCGCUGCGCACCUCUGCUCGAAGCAGGAGGCACCCGCUGUGAACACGGCGGGCAAGCGCUGCGCGGCUGUCGAGGCCUGCGGCAUCCACACCGCCGAUGACCUCUGCGCCGCCGACAAGCCACCAAAGUUCGGCCCUGCUCGCGAGUUGUGUGCGGCCGACGGGAUCCUCGGUCUCGACACCGUCCCGGAGUUCUCCGCAGCCAAUUAUCAACAAGUGGGAGUACCAGAGUUGGGGAUGCACAAUGAAUCCAGAGCAAACGAGCCCUCACCAGAUAGUUGUUUUUCAUUCUUCAGUAUACAUGUUCAGAGAGCAUGCAUUAUGUUUUUUCAGUUUUUGUAAUAGUUCCCAGUGUACAUGUUCAGGGUUCAUAGAACAUGCAUCCUGUGCUAAUAACACUUUGUGCUAACUAUGUGCUUUCUGAAGUGAAGCUUCUUUUUUAGGGAUAUGUGUUUUCUGAAGCUAGAUCAUACUGUCCUUUGGGUCAAACAUAAUGUUGUCUGUGUGUUCUUGUACCUAUGGUCUGUCAAACAAACAAACAAGCCCAACAAAGAAAGGUCCAGGGGGCGGGCGGUAGUUAGGCUGGAAGGGGUGGGCUGCCCACAUACAAACAAACAGGCUGCCACAAACAAACAGGAGGUGAUCGGAAGCAACGACGCUGGUUGUUUUUGUCAACUGAUGGGUACAGAUUAUGGAAUGAUGUCAGAUUAGAUGUAUCUCACAUCUAGAUGUGACAUAGACAGACCCAAUUUUUAUACGUCUGAUAAGCCACCAUAUUAAGAAAUCAAAAACGGAGGGCGAGGAGUCGAUCAGUUUGCCCACAAAUAUGAGCAGGAAGAAGGAAAGAAACUAAAGCAUACCUUCAUUUAAAUUGUUUGUGCAAUUUUAAGAAAAGUGUUCAUGUAUUAAAAUAAUGUUCAUCUAAUUUUAAAAAUAGUCACACUUUUCUGAAAAAAAAAAUCAUGUAAUUCUAAAAAAUGUUCACGUGCUUAAAAAUAUAUUCGUAAUUUUAUAAAUAUUCAUGCUCUUUAGAAAAUUUCAUCUAAUUUAGAAAGUGUGUUUAUGUGUGUUUUAGAAAGAAGGUUGAUGCAUUUUGGAAAGUAAAAUCUAAAAGUGAGUGGGUGUAUGAGGGGUGGUGUAUGGACUAGGUGUAGAUCCUAGCUCUCCGUCAUGUCCAGCUCCACGAUAAUGGAGUAGUUUUGAAAUUUCAGACGCAUAAACACAUCUGUCAUUGCAAGUACGGGCUGUGUGCAAUACAUUAUAAUUAGGCGUGGUAGUUAGUUUGCUUCUGAAGUUUCCGCCUCCUAAGUCACGUGUUGCGACAGGAGUCCCGCAUUUUUUGGCAAGUUUUGCAAUCAUGCUAAAUCAAAUCUGAAUGGGUCUGUCUAGGUCUCAGUCGUCUAAGUCGACUGAUGUCACCUAAGGCAGAUUAGGCCUGUUUGUUUACUCGAUAGUUGCUGGGUUUUAUUCUUAGCUGGGCCUUUUUCGUUUCUCUCUUGUUUGUUUGUUUGUUUAUUGGGUUGGGCUGGGCUGAUUGUUUCUGUUGGAAGAUGCCCGUCGCCUGUAUAACAGAGGGACCGUGUCCCACGCCAUGUACAUGAUCUGUAACUGCACGCCGUGCUCCACUCCUAUGUGCACGUUGUGCAUGCCCGUACAUAGCUAGCUUCCUGUUAUGAUGUACUAUGUAUAAAUCCCCUUUGUGGGCUCAUUGAAUAGACAAGCCAAGUUUCUAUUC